CCAUGGUGGGGCUGCACCAACCUUCGUUCUGUUCCUGACAGGGGAAAAAUAAGCAGAGAAGUGAAGGAUUAGAGGAGGAAGGAGAGGGAAGGAGGAAGAAGAGGGGGUGCGAAGAGGCCGGCCUGUCAGCAGGGUUGACGACGGGGCGACGCUGCUGGAAUCCGGUGGCUCGCUGGCCAACGGUGGCGCCGGCUCCUGACUGGAAAAACGAGGGGAGGAGGAGCUUGGGCAUUGGAGACGAAGCACAGGAGAAAGGAACGCAGUGGGAUGCUAGUGACGGUCACCAUGGUGAUGCAGAAGUUUGGGACGGGGCUCUUCCACUCGGGUGUGGAUGCGGCCUCCACUGAAGCUUCGACGUCCGGGCAUGGGCACGGUGCCACGGUGGAGAUGCUCCUGCGACAGAAGCACACACAAAGAGAGCAUGUUGAGAGAGAGAA
rnacentral:lncRNA from 1 species